GACGGAGAGUGCAAACGUUGUUCGGAUUUACUGGGCGUAGAGGGCACGUAGGCGGCCAGGCAAAUCAGUUGUGGAAUCCCGACGCCUACCGUCGGAACGGCAAUUGAAAAUACCUGGCUCGAGGGCAUGAGGGGUCGCAGGAACUCCUGGUGGAGCGGUGAAAUGCGUAGAUAUCUGGAGGAACACCGGUGGCGAAGGCGGCAUCCUGGACCGGCAUUGACGCUGAGGAGCGAAAGCCAGGGGAGCAAACGGG
rnacentral:rRNA from 1 species